GAUGAACGCUGGCGGCGUGCCUAAUACAUGCAAGUCGAGCGAACAGAUGAGGAGCUUGCUCCUCUGACGUUAGCGGCGGACGGGUGAGUAACACGUGGAUAACCUACCUAUAAGACUGGGAUAACUUCGGGAAACCGGAGCUAAUACCGGAUAAUAUAUUGAACCGCAGGGUUCAAUAGUGAAAGACGGUUUUGCUGUCACUUAUAGAUGGAUCCGCGCCGCAUUAGCUAGUUGGUAAGGUAACGGCUUACCAAGGCGACGAUGCGUAGCCGACCUGAGAGGGUGAUCGGCCACACUGGAACUGAGACACGGUCCAGACUCCUACGGGAGGCAGCAGUAGGGAAUCUUCCGCAAUGGGCGAAAGCCUUACGGAGCAACGCCGCGUGAGUUAUGAAGGUCUUCGGAUCGUAAAACUCUGUUAUUAGGGAAGAACAAAUGUGUAAGUAACUAUGCACGUCUUGACGGUACCUAAUCAGAAAGCCACGGCUAACUACGUG
rnacentral:rRNA from 1 species